rnacentral:rRNA from 1 species
GACGAACGCUGGCGGCGUGCUUAACACAUGCAAGUCGAACGGAAAGGCCCUGCUUUUGUGGGGUGCUCGAGUGGCGAACGGGUGAGUAACACGUGAGUAACCUGCCCUUGACUUUGGGAUAACUUCAGGAAACUGGGGCUAAUACCGGAUAGGAGCUCCUGCUGCAUGGUGGGGGUCGGAAAGUUUCGGCGGUUGGGGAUGGACUCGCGGCUUAUCAGCUUGUUGGUGGGGUAGUGGCUUACCAAGGCUUUGACGGGUAGCCGGCCUGAGAGGGUGACCGGCCACAUGGGGACUGAGAUACGGCCCAGACGCCAACGGGAGGCAGCAGUGGGGAAUAUUGCACAAUGGGCGGAAGCCUGAGGCAGCAACGCCGCGUGCGGGAUGACGGCCUUCGGGUUGUAAACCGCUGUCGCCUGUGACGAAGCGUGAGUGACGGUAAUGGGUAAAGAAGCACCGGCUAACUACGUG